GCGGCUGUAGCUCAGUGGAUAGAGCGGACCCCUCCUAAGGGUCAGGUCGUGAGUUCGAUCCUCGCCAGCCGCACCA
rnacentral:tRNA from 1 species